rnacentral:rRNA from 1 species
AACGAACGCUGGCGGCGUGGAUAAGACAUGCAAGUCGAACGGGAUAACAUCUGUAGCAAUACAGGUGCUAUUUAGUGGCGAACGGGUGCGUAACACGUGGGCAAUCUGCCGAGAAGUGGGGGAUAGCUCGCCGAAAGGGCGAAUUAAUACCGCAUAUGAUCAGCUAAAGACAUCUUAGCGACAUCAAAGCCGGGGCAACCUGGCGCUUCUUGAUGAGCCCGCGGCCUAUCAGCUAGUUGGUGAGGUAACGGCUCACCAAGGCUAUGACGGGUAGCUGGUCUGAGAGGACGACCAGUCACACUGGAACUGAGACACGGUCCAGACACCGUACGGGUGGCAGCAGUCGAGUAAUUUUUCUCAAGUCGGGGAAACCCUGAAGGAGCGACGCCGCGUGGAGGAUG